rnacentral:lncRNA from 1 species
GUUUAAUUUCAUGGAAGCUUUGCUAGAUGAAUUUUGUUUAAUGCCAAAUCAACAUUUGGUUUGUUUUUAGCUAGAAAUAAUUAAGCAGGAUUGAUGGCUAGUAUGUUACCAGCAGGCUAAAAUGAACCCUUGGCAGAAUAGAUAAGUUCAGGAUGAACAAAGAACCAAGGUAUUCUAUAAUGUAUGAAACUUGGGCGUAUUUUUAUAAGGCUUUGGGCUAAAUACUGAGUCUGGGAACUGAGAAUUCAUGCUAAUGUAAAGAAGGCAGAGAAGAGGAGGACUGUUUUAUUAGGACAUCAGUUGCGUCUCCCAGGCAAG